GGAGAAUGGCUGUAACUCAGUGGUAGAGCAUCUGCUUUACAUGCAGAAGUUUGUAGAUUCAGUUCCCAGCAUCUCCA